ACCCAAUAUGGGCCACAGCAGAUUUUGUUGUUUUUGGACAAAUGUAGGUAUGUAGGUACACUGAGGACAACAAUGCGUGACUUUAAUUCAUACAUAUUGCAUUUUAAUGGGAACAUCCUUUUUGAAAUAUACAUGAGUAUUAUGCAAAACUGGAAAAAGGAAAGCUGGAUAUCUGUCAAUUUUGGAAAAAUAGAUUGGUUAUGGACGGCUAUCUUGGUUUGGUUCAGUGCAUGAUCAUCUCUAUAUAUGAGCACACGAGCGUGGUCUCAUGUGAAUCGGGUUUUUGGCUCGAUUUUGUCUGGCUUUGUGGACUGGCGACAAAGGCGGGGGCGAUCGGAAUGAAUGGAGAGCGAUAAACCAAGGUCAGGCCUCGAUUCUUUGAGAAGGAGCAGCUGUUGCUCUAAGCUUGGCUAGAACGCAUCCAAUGCUACCCCCAAACUGAAUGGAAUGGCACAAACACACGGGCGGCCUCCUGUGCCCACGGAGCUCUACUAAUUUGACUGUCAAUCAAAAAAGGCGAGCAGCAGCAGGAUCAGCAGGAUCGCAGAGCACGAAGGACUCCCAGCGAGUUGAUAAUCGAUGGGAAUCAAAUUUGCUGCCAGCUUCCAGAGAAGCUCCCUACACUACGGCUAAGUGGCAGA